rnacentral:misc_RNA from 1 species
GAAUAAGUUGGAACCAACUCAUCCUCAUUCGAUAACACAACUAAGGAUCUGCUUCUCGUUUUCAACUGCAAUGGAGUGAUAGUGGAUGAUAUGCUCGAGAGACACUGAAAGAAGCCAUUUCGAAAGAUAUUUGAGCAAACCAGUGAGCUAAUGGCGGACAUUUGUGUGUUACGGUAAUUGAGAGGAGAUGAAAGGAAGGGUCAUCU